CUACGGGGGGCACCAGUGGGGAAUAUUGGACAAUGGGGGAAACCCUGAUCCAGCAAUGCCGCGUGUGUGAAGAAGGCCUGCGGGUUGUAAAGCACUUUCGGUUGGGAGGACUGCUUCUAGCACUAAUAUUGUUGGAAGUUGACGUUACCUUCAGAAGAAGCACCGGCUAACUCCGUGCCAGCAGCCGCGGUAAUACGGAGGGUGGCAAGCGUUAAUCGGCAUUACUGGGCGUAAAGCGCGCGUAGGCGGCUAGAUCAGUCGGGUGUGAAAGCCCCGGGCUUAACCUGGGAACUGCAUCCGAUACUGUCUAGCUUGAGUACAGGAGAGGAGAGUGGAAUUCCACAUGUAGCGGUGAAAUGCGUAGAUAUGUGGAGGAACACCAAUGGCGAAGGCAGCUCUCUGGCCUGAUACUGACGCUGAGGUGCGAAAGCGUGGGGAGCAAACAGGAUUAGAUACCCGGGUAGUC
rnacentral:rRNA from 1 species